AAAAGGAAGGGCCAUGCCCCAAACUGACCUGCCCCCAGACAACACCUGGAAUUUGGGCUGUCCCCAUGGGCACCAGUUCCCUCAGGAAGGGUGGCAGCCCUGCAGCACCCUGCUCCCAUGGCCCCCGUGGUCUGAGCCCCUGGGCUAGCUGGUCUGACUGAAGAAGACUCCUUUGAACAGAGCGGUCCUACCUCACCACAGCUGAUAUCCGCGCACUCCUCUGCUCUCCUGGGAUCCACAACAGCGUUCUUCAUGAAGCCGAGCAGCGAGGUGGAUCAGCAGCCGUGAGGUGGAACACGGUGUUGAGGCAAUGGUGGCUCGCACCCACAUGCUCAGAGGAGGACAGGGCACCCCAGCCAGCUGUGCCACCCCACGCUGGGCUCCCUUCAGCAGCACCAGGGCUGGGGAGCUGCAGAGACAGAGCCUCCCAGGGCCAAUGGCCCUGACGAACACGUACCAUCCACCUUGCAGUAUUACCAUUGUGCUUUGUCGUCAGCGGAGUCAUGCUAUGAUAGUUGUUACGGUUUUGAAUGACUCAUUUUCCACUUAACUGUAUUAUUGUGGCUGACAGAGCAUCUGGAGCUCUGCAGCUCUAAAUACAUCACUGAAUAUUACAGCAAUAUACUAAUCUCUUGCUUUGAAGGAUCUAUUUAACAAAAUACAGUUGCGUCAGGCAGGUGUGUCUGUGCCUGGUCCGGCUCACUGCUCCUCAGGCAUCUGUCUGGUGAUACCACAACACAGUGCACUGCAUGGGGCAGAAACACGUCCAGCUGGUGACAUGCUUGCAGAAACUGAUUGAUCGUCUUCAUGUUGCCUGAAGUUGGUAUAUUUUGAUGAGAAAAUGAGAGAUUCUUGUCAGCUGCACAUGAGAGACCCUGUGCUUGUGCUGAGGCAGCCAGGCCCAUGAGGUGCUGGUGCCUCAGGGAAUUACAUGGGCCUGCUCUGGCCAGUCAGUUCCGAGUGGAAGGACCCCUCUGGACUCCUUUUAUUAUUAUUUUACUAUACUUUCCUUCAGUUUGAGGCCUUUAGUCCCUUCAGGCACAGCCUGGCAGCGAGCUGCAGAGGGCAGUGUGGGAGAGAGAAACCACAGCCAACAUGGCGGCGGCGCGGCCGGCGUGCACGGACACUAGAGGGAGUUGGCGCCUUAGCCUGUCGGGCUCGUAUGGCACCUUAAACAUGUAGUUUUGGGGGCUUUUUGCCUGUCUGAGGUGUUUUUUUAACCCUCGGGCAGACUCUGCCUGCCGGGAGCUCUUGAGCCGGGACGCUUCUGAUUGUACACCUGCAAGGUGUUAGGAUGAGUCUAGGUCGGGAGUUACUCUGAUGAAGGCAUCUUGAGGAACACAGCGAGCUGAGGACCACAGCAAGUUGAAGUAAAGGCUGGCGAAAAAAAUGCUGUCAUGUCGCCUGAGGUGAUGGAAAGAUGAAGUAAGAAAAGGAGCAGGUAUCUGAAGACCUGUUGAAGAUAAUAAUAAACUCUUGCUGCUGAGUAUCAGAGAAAUCCCAGGGGUUCCUGAAUUUGCCACAGGAUCUAUGAAAACAAUGAACAAAAAAAGUCACUCUUCUGUGUGGAGAGCAAAAUUCUCCAGAUAACUUUAAAAGACAAAACAGGAAAUGUUAUCUUGAAAUGUUCAACCCAAAAUGAAGUAAUGGUUUCUAAAGCCCCAGCACAGCCACAUCCUGAGGUUGUAUGCCAGCAGAGCAAACGGAGAGCUGGGACCAUACUGGCUUCAGGAAGCAGAUAUCACCUCUCUGUGAAUUGCUGUGCUUAUUCCAGAGCAAGCCAAGCUUCUCAGGACUGCUGGUUCAAGAACUGGGACUUUGCAGUAACCAGACUUUCAGGUUCCCCAUAUUACUGGUACAUACCAGUUCAGAGGACCCAAAACCAGUUACUAACGAAAAUCUUUGCCUAUGAAAUCUGACCAAAGACUCAGUUCUCAUAUUUUCCGUAUGGGGUUCACAGAUCACAAAUUUCAAAGCUCUGUCAACGUAAGGAGACACAAGUUUCCUGAGGCUGCUGAUCCUGCAGUUAAACCAAAAGCCCCUUUCAGGUAAUUUACAUGUUUGUUUUGCCUGUGGUGUUGUGAAAUCCCUGCAGCCUCCUAGCAAAGUGUAUGGGGAAACUUACUCCUGUUGUUGGAAGCUAGUACAUUUCCAGGAUGCAUUUUUGUUUUGGUUUAUUGCUUUUUUUCCAGUAUUUUCCUGGAAAAUUUUCAGCGGUUCUAAUUCUGCCUUGUGUGGUUAGGUGGCAAACACCUCAGAGCACAGCCUGGCAUACUGCGUAUACAUAUGGUACUGCACUCUGUUUGCAGCUGAAUUGUAAUGGCUAAAGGCCACCACAAAGCUCCAGAUACUCAAUGAGCCUUGCAUGCUUGGCUAAGGCAUGUCUUCCACCAUUGUCACAUCAUUAUAUCUAGAUGAAAGGGCUUUGACACUUUGAUUAGGACUUCACACAACUGCAGAAAUAGGAUCUAAAGGGGAACUUGUGCACCAGGAGGGUGCUUCACCUCCAAGCAGCUCCUGCAUGUCAUGCCAUGAUGAUUUCAGCUGUUCCCUAUGAAGCUGUUCUUUGUUUAGAUUUGCCUAGUCUUGGAUCUGAGUCCCCUGUGCUGGAUUCUGUGUAACGCAGGAAAAGGUGGCUCACUAACUGGGUAUGAAACAACCAGGACUGUGCAAAGACGAGGAUACAGCUUUACCUGAACAGGAUGGGCUUUGGUGCCAAAGCUUUUUCAGUGGGUUUAAGUGUUGCCCAGCUUUUCCAGGCAGUAAAGAAGCACUUUAAGGUGGAAAUUGAUGGCUGCUCAAACCAAUAACUUUGCCUACCUUUCAGGUGCGCUUCUCCCACAGGUGAAGGUGAUAAUAUAGGAGAAGGUAUGCUGGUGUUUGCUUAUAGGCUACAGCUAAAACUUGGAGGAAGAUUAGGGUUGGGAUGUUUGUUCUGUUCCUUCUCUUUCCUCAGUUAUCUUAGAUCAGGGUACAGGUGAAUAAACUUAGUACCUCUUUGAGCCAUAGAGAAUAGCUAAAGACUUAAAGUUAGACAGAAAACUGUGCAUCUUGUGGAGACUGUUUCUAUUCUCAGGAGUCUUGGUAAGUUUUUGGUUUUGUUGCUGUCUGGUAGUAUGUGUUGGACUGAUUGUCUAAUGAUAAAGUGGCCCUGGUUGUUUAAUAGCUCUGUAUCUCACAGACUUGAAUGGAUUUUGUUUGUUUGGGAUUUUUUGGUUUGGUUUGUGGUUUUGUCAUGUUUAUAAGAAGAAUUUCAUAAGUGGGGAGCCCAGUCAAAGAAAAGUGAAGUUCAAGACUGCAUGUAGCUGGUAAAGGAGGAGCUCAGCUGUGGUUUCACAAGUUCAUCCUUAUCAGCAGCUUGGUAGAGAUGACUAGAGAAUGAAUAGCUAGAUGAACCAUGAGUUAAGAAGGAGAAGAGGGAUGCAGAAUAACAUGUAAAGCUGGUCACUUCAAACUGUGAAUGACUUUUGGUUUGAGGAACUCAUUCUAAUGCUAUUUGUGCUCAAGCUGCCCUUGACAAGAGCAAAAAACUUCUCUUCCGGGUUGCAAUGUAGCGAUUUUUUGCCUGCCCUAAAUUCACUUAAUUUUAACUUAAUCACUCUGUUUUUUUAAUGUUUCUCUGAGACGUACAUGUUGCUGGCUCAGCACUAAUAGUGAGAAGUUGAAAGAAGUUAAUCGUGCUGUGUAGCUCAAUGCCUUAUGAUUUAUUAUUAAGAAUAAAGACAAGCACUCCUCUAUUUUAUCUCUAAU